AGGCGAUGAAGGACGCGGUAGCCUGCGAAAAGCUACGGGGAGCUGGCAAACGAGCUUUGAUCCGUAGAUGUCCGAAUGGGGAAACCCACUCCUUAUGGAGUAUCCAUGGCUGAAUACAUAGGCCAUGCGAAGCGAACGCGGUGAACUGAAACAUCUAAGUAACCGCAGGAAAAGAAAUCAACCGAGAUUCCCAAAGUAGUGGCGAGCGAAAUGGAGUA
rnacentral:rRNA from 1 species